rnacentral:tRNA from 1 species
GGGCGAAUAGCUCAGCUGGUCAGAGCAUCCGGUUUACACCCGGAAGGUCGGGGGUUCGAAACCCUCUUCGCCCACCC